GUGGCGGCCUGGCGAGGGCAGGGAAGCUGGGGGGGAAGCUGCCCGCCCGCCCUGCACCCCUCCUCCUCGGGAACGCGCCCGCCUGGCCGUGCUCCCGAGUCCCAGCCUUUCCGACUCACCCCGCGACCUGGGCACAUAGGAACGGGAGUGCAGGAAGAGAAUGAUGGCGGUGAUGACCGGCACAGAGCUGGUGGAUGCCGGACUGCAAGUGAGAGGAGAACAUUCUGUCGCUAGCCCUUGAUAGAAUUCAUAAUUCUGAAACUGUCUGGCAAAAGUUGGAGAGCAAACCGAAGGGAAUCCCUUCUGGCUUGAAUCUACUCAUGACGAGAAUAUUUCCCGCAAGGCCAGGCCUACAUAAAUAGGAUGAUGAGAUGGGACAGAAGUAGCUCCACCGUGGCGAUUGGUGACAACUAAGCUGGCUAUGCCGUGAUGCCCGUGGAUGGCCAUCCUUCAGGUGUGAAGUGGAAUCAUAAACUCUUCAAGUUUAGAAGGGACCUCUGAGGCCAUUUCUUAUUCGGUCUCCUUUCUGAUUCC